GGACAAGUUCCCACAUUUAUUUGUCCGCAAGAAAAGGUAACACCAGUCCUCGAACAGUCACGAGAUUCUCAACCUCCCCCUACCAUUUCUUCCGACCCUGUUCCUUCUUUGCUUCCAUUCUUAUUCUCUCUUUCACUUGAUUUCAAGAUAGCAGAAUUGAUCAAAGAGAAAUCAAUUCAAGAAAAAUGUACAAAACGAGGUUGCAGGAGCUCUGCCAUGAGAGGGGAUGGAGGUUGCCGAGCUACUCCUCGGUGAAGGACGGGCCCGAUCAUAACCCUCAAUUCGCGGCUUCGGUCACCGUCAAUGACCUCUCUUUUCCGACUACCGGUUUCUGCAGAACCUCCAAAGAAGCUCAGAACGAAGCUGCCAGGAUCGCCUUCGAUCAUUUCAAUUCUCCAACACCACCACCACCUCCUUCUCAUCGUCCUCAGCUUAUCUUCACCCCGCAUCAUAUUCCUGUCGAAGAUGCUUCCACUUCUCUUUCCGGUUCUUCACUUGUGAGCAAUGAGAUGAAGGUUAAAGCAAGAAAUGAGUGGAAUAACGCCCCUGCUGUUGGAGGGAGUAAGCUGCCAAAGAAUCAGGAAAUAUCGAGGAGUCCUUUGACUCAUGAAAAUGCUUCUGUUGUUAAAGAUGAAUUUGAAGGUAUCCAAUUUUUAUAUAAGAACCAGCUGCAAAGUUAUGCUCAAAGGCGCAACAUCAGUCUACCCACCUAUUCUUGUGUACGUGAGGGCCUAGCUCAUGCUCUACGCUUUAAAGCUACGGUUACAAUUGAUGGACAAACCUUUGAGAGCCCAGAGUGUUUCCAAACACUAAAGGAAGCAGAACAUGCAGCUGCAAAGGCUGCUUUAAUGACAUUGUCCUCAGAUGGCACAGAAAUGGGAGAAUCUGUUGUCUACAAGAACCUUUUACAGGAAUUGACUCAGAAAGAAGGUUUUUCCUUGCCAGUAUAUGCGACAACAGUAUCUGGUGAAUCUCAUUUACCAACAUUCUCUUCCACUGUGGAAGUAGGAGAGGUUUUCCAUGGGAAAGCAGCAAAAACCAAAAAGCAGGCGGAGAUGAAUGCAGCAAAGGUUGCUUAUUCUGAUCUUAAAGAGCGUAGAUUGAGUAGAAUGGCUAAAUAUCCUUGCCCAAGUGGCCAGGAAAUAGAAGCAACCGCAUUCACUUCUUCCAGCUCAAAUUCAGUCAACAGUGGUCACCUGCAACAGAACCUCAAACCAAUAGACAUGAGUCAUAUGACUAUUUCGACCAGAGUCACUGUAUCCAAGGACCAUGGGGAAGAGAGUAGAGAUGGAGAUCAAGAAGUUGAUUCAGCAAAUGCAAUUUCAGUCAGUGCUAAAGUGAGCACUGACGACUCCAUCCCAUCUUCAAAGCCGUCCAAUAUGAUGACGAGAAACAUGGAGUCAUCAUCAUCUGGCUUGACAUACUGUCGUCUUCGGGACCCAUUUCCAUCACCUGGUGAUGAGCCCUCUUCACCUUCCACAGCGUCAGAUUGCUCAGGAAAUUUGGCUGUGGCUUCAGAUAUCAAGGUGCCAAAUGCAAAGGAGACUUCGUCAUUACUGUGCAACAGGGUUAGAGUAUACCCACGCAUGCCAAACAUGGAAUUAACCCAGGGUGUUACUAUUUUGCCUAUAAGUGAUGACAAAUGGGUGGCUGUGAGCUUGGAAUUCCAAGACCUAGCAGUUCAGUGAUAUUCUGUGAUGACAUUCAAGAUCUGACAUCAUCCGCCCCUCUCCCUCUCUGAAGAAAAAAAUAUUAGACCUUAGAAAUAUAGUUUGAUAUCAAAGGGCUUUCAUUGACCAUAGGAGAUGAACCUGGCCUAAACUCCUUACUGUUGGGCAAGUGGAGAGAAGGGUGAUCUCCCUAGCAUGACCCCCGUGCGUCUAUGAACGCUUCCUUCCAUUAAUUAGAAGCCAUGAGCAUGUUUUGCAUGUGCUUGCCAUUUUACAUGUAUUAUUGUGAGAUUGCAGCUCAAGCCUUGGAAAGACUUUAUAGGUCCUUAUGUGAUGCUCACGUCCUCCAUAUGCAGGAUUCCAUGGUUCUAGGCAAUGUUUGUUUCGAGGCCUCAUUCUAAUUGAUUCAUCUCUGCAACAAUCAGCUUCUCUGCUUCCAGUAA